ensembl:lncRNA
GCCAGACUGAAUUAUCAGGAAGACUAGAAAAUGCCACUGGUCAGUCUUGGCAUUGGUGUAAGACCGAGAGGAAAGCUCCUUGAUUGGAUCUUGGCUCUGUUGUGCACGCCUUGCCCAUGUGUUACUGGACCAGAGCAGGCUGAGCUUCACAUUCCUCAUCUGUGAAACAGAGCAUGAGCCUUUUUUGAGAAAACUAAAUGAGAUGGUGAUAUUACUGUAGCCAAGGAAAUGUCUGGCACACGGACCUAGGAAGAAGUGGAUUUUUGGGAGAGGCUGUGACACCAGGAAAGGGUUAUAACACGCCGGUGACGUGAUGAGCGGGCAAACCCCGGGAGACCCUUGCCAGGUGUGACUGAAUACGUGAAGAAAGUCGGGAGCAAAUGAAAGACCAGGCUUUGUGAAUUCAGUGAUACUUCCUGCACCAUAGACUCUGGAAUCUAAACCAGUUUCUCCCAUGUGGUUCAUGAAUUUCUGCAUAAAAGCUUUGAAAACAUUUCCCAAAAGUCCCCAGGAGCUUUCAUAACCACUAAUUGGCCUCUACUUUUUGGAAGUUUGGUGAUCUAGAAAGUUGGAAUGGAAACUGCCGUCCUGCUAUAAAACACCAAGGAUCCUGGGUAAAAUAGAACACUUUAAAAAUACUGUUGACCUUGCAAGACCUUGAAGAAAAUCCACAUGUUGCAAGAACAAAGAGGAAGGCAAAAUCCAGAGCAUGAAACCUACAAAUUCAGCCACAAACAGUAGCUGCCUUCAGGGAUACCAGGACCCUCCCCUGUGGGUUCUAACUCCCAAGCAAGGACCAGACCACUCAGAUACCUUGUGGACAUUUCGAAAAGGCACUCCACCCCAGUCCUUACCGGUUAAAAGGGGACUCUCAAGAAAGGGGGCCCUCCAUGCUUACUUGCCAGGGACUGUCCUCUCUGUGCUUGGAGUCUUUUCAUGACUAUUAAUAGCACUUGGUUCCCCUUCAGAAAUAUGUAGAUUAGAACGACAAAUUACAUUUCCCUCUGUUCAAAGGCUACUUAGUAAAAGGAUGGGCAAGGAAACAAAAAUAGCUUCCAGCAGCCACAGAGUCAAGGCAUGCCAUUUCCACUUUGUGUUGCACAGGGAUAAAAAAGAUUUUAAGUUAAUAAAAGCAUGCCCUCUAAAAGUUAAUAAAGAUGAGCCCUUCUUCCACAUGGGGUCAAAACACUGUAUGAGUAUCUGUCUGUAUAUAUUGUAUUUAAAAGCUGGAAAACUGAAGAGAGAAAAAUCACUCAUACUUUCUCAAUCCAAAUAAAACACCAUUAUCUUUUCUUUAUUCCUUUUUCAGAUUAG